rnacentral:rRNA from 1 species
CAAUAGCGUAUAUUUAAGUUGUUGCAGUUAAAAAGCUCGUAGUUGGAUUUCGGGUGGGACGCAGCGGUCUCGCAUUGCGUUUGUACUGCUGCAGCCCUCGUUCUUGCCGGGGGCGGCCUCUCGGACUUCACUGUCUGGGGGUCAGAAUCGGCGAUGUUACUUUGAGUAAAUUAGAGUGUUCAAAGCAAGCUUACGCUCUGAAUAUAAUAGCAUGGGAUAACACGACAGGACUCUGGCCUAUCGUGUUGGUCUAUAGGACCAGAGUAAUGAUUAAGAGGGACAGUCGGGGGCAUUCGUAUUCCGUUGUCAGAGGUGAAAUUCUUGGAUUUACGGAAGACGAACAUCUGCGAAAGCAUUUGCCAAGGAUGUUUUCAUUGA